CCAGAGAGAGAGAGCGAGAGAGAGCAGCACUAUUUUCACUCCUCUUACUGACUGAAGAAACGCACCGUGUGGUAGGCUACCCCGGCCAGCCGCGCUCACACACUAACAAAACGAUGCACCGCCGCCGCUUCGCACAGUCAAUGCCGCUGACCAGGUGUUGGACCAAAGAACAGGGCCGUCGUUAACGAGACAGAAGAUCAAACUUGUAUGUAUGUGCUGUGCGCCCUUCUCCCUGGUCCCGUACACAGACGAUCGAGAAGAUGCUGAGCAGACUGAUGAGCAGCAGCAUCAGGAGUCUGGACAGGGAAUGCAACUGCACUGUGAGGCUGCUGGACGAUUCGGAGUACACCUGCACGAUUCAGCCCUUCAGGAUAUUUACAGGCUUCUCACUGCCACAGAUCGCAAUACAAUCUCUUAAAGCCUCAAUCCAGGAUUGAUGCACUGUUUCUUCUGGCAGAGGGUUAAUUGGUGGGCAAGCAAGCAGAGGCCAAGUAUGUGGCAUGUGACUGUGUUGUUGAGAUUGUGGGCUGCUGUGGGGGAGACUAUGGAAAGUGCGCCGCCGUAGAAGCUUUGGGAAGACCUACACAGGCACUUGGAGGCCACAGGUCAGGAGAAACAGGCUCAGGAGAGAGAGGACCAGGAGCAGUGCUAUGUUUGGGGUUCAGAGUCUUGCUCAAGGACACAUCGACAUGUGGACAGAAGGAGCCAGGGAUUGACUCUACCUGCUGAGCCACAGCCGCUCGAUCAACAAACAAUUCCUUGAUUGAAUUUUGAUAAAAUGUAAUGUGACAAUCGAUAUUAUGACACAUCAUUAAAUAUUUCAUUCAUA